rnacentral:rRNA from 1 species
GACGAACGCUGGCGGCGUGCUUAACACAUGCAAGUCGAACGGAAAGGCCCUGCUUUUGUGGGGUGCUCGAGUGGCGAGCGGGUGAGUAACACGUGAGUAACCUGCCCUUGACUUUGGGAUAACUUCAGGAAACUGGGGCUAAUACCGGAUAGGAGCUCCUGCUGCAUGGUGGGGGUUGGAAAGUUUCGGCGGUUGGGGAUGGACUCGCGGCUUAUCAGCUUGUUGGUGGGGUAGUGGCUUACCAAGGCUUUGACGGGUAGCCGGCCUGAGAGGGUGACCGGCCACAUUGGGACUGAGAUACGGCCCAGACUCCUACGGGAGGCAGCAGUGGGGAAUAUUGCACAAUGGGCGGAAGCCUGAUGCAGCAACGCCGCGUGCGGGAUGACGGCCUUCGGGUUGUAAACCGCUUUCGCCUGUGACGAAGCGUGAGUGACGGUAAUGGGUAAAGAAGCACCGGCUAACUACGUGCCAGCAGCCGCGGUGAUACGUAGGGUGCGAGCGUUGUCCGGAUUUAUUGGGCGUAAAGGGCUCGUAGGUGGUUGAUCGCGUCGGAAGUGUAAUCUUGGGGCUUAACCCUGAGCGUGCUUUCGAUACGGGUUGACUUGAGGAAGGUAGGGGAGAAUGGAAUUCCUGGUGGAGCGGUGGAAUGCGCAGGUAUCAGGAGGAACACCAGUGGCGAAGGCGGUUCUCUGGGCCUUUCCUGACGCUGAGGAGCGAAAGCGUGGGGAGCGAACAGGCUUAGAUACCCUGGUAGUCCACGCUGUAAACGGUGGGUACUAGGUGUGGGGUCCAUUCCACGGGUUCCGUGCCGUAGCUAACGCUUUAAGUACCCCGCCUGGGGAGUACGGCCGCAAGGCUAAAACUCAAAGGAAUUGACGGGGCCCCGCACAAGCGGCGGAGCAUGCGGAUUAAUUCGAUGCAACGCGUAGAACCUUACCUGGGUUUGACAUGGAUCGGGAGCGCUCAGAGAUGGGUGUGCCUCUUUUGGGGUCGGUUCACAGGUGGUGCAUGGCUGUCGUCAGCUCGUGUCGUGAGAUGUUGGGUUAAGUCCCGCAACGAGCGCAACCCUUGUUCACUGUUGCCAGCACGUUAUGGUGGGGACUCAGUGGAGACCGCCGGGGUCAACUCGGAGGAAGGUGGGGAUGACGUCAAGUCAUCAUGCCCCUUAUGUCCAGGGCUUCACGCAUGCUACAAUGGCUGGUACAGAGAGUGGCGAGCCUGUGAGGGUGAGCGAAUCUCGGAAAGCCGGUCUCAGUUCGGAUUGGGGUCUGCAACUCGACCUCAUGAAGUCGGAGUCGCUAGUAAUCGCAGAUCAGCAACGCUGCGGUGAAUACGUUCCCGGG